AUUGAACGCUGGCGGCAGGCCUAACACAUGCAAGUCGAACGGUAACAGGAAACAGCUUGCUGUUUCGCUGACGAGUGGCGGACGGGUGAGUAAUGUCUGGGAAACUGCCUGAUGGAGGGGGAUAACUACUGGAAACGGUAGCUAAUACCGCAUAACGUCGCAAGAACAAAGAGGGGGACCUUCGGGCCUCUUGCCAUCGGAUGUGCCCAGAUGGGAUUAGCUAGUAGGUGGGGUAACGGCUCACCUAGGCGACGAUCCCUAGCUGGUCUGAGAGGAUGACCAGCCACACUGGAACUGAGACACGGUCCAGACUCCUACGGGAGGCAGCAGUGGGGAAUAUUGCACAAUGGGCGCAAGCCUGAUGCAGCCAUGCCGCGUGUAUGAAGAAGGCCUUCGGGUUGUAAAGUACUUUCAGCGGGGAGGAAGGGAGUAAAGUUAAUACCUGUGCUCAUUGACGUUACCCGCAGAAGAAGCACCGGCUACUCCGUG
rnacentral:rRNA from 1 species